AUUGAACGCUGGCGGCAGGCUUAACACAUGCAAGUCGAGCGGAAACGGAGGUAGCUUGCUACCAGACGUCGAGCGGCGAACGGGUGAGUAACGCGUAGGAAUCUACCUAGUAGAGGGGGAUAGCCCGGGGAAACUCGGAUUAAUACCGCAUACGCCCUAAGGGGGAAAGCAGGGGAUCUUCGGACCUUGCGCUAUUAGAUGAGCCUGCGUCGGAUUAGCUAGUUGGUAGGGUAAAGGCCUACCAAGGCGACGAUCCGUAGCUGGUCUGAGAGGAUGAUCAGCCACACUGGAACUGAGACACGGUCCAGACUCCUACGGGAGGCAGCAGUGGGGAAUAUUGGACAAUGGGGGCAACCCUGAUCCAGCCAUGCCGCGUGUGUGAAGAAGGCCUCGGGUUGUAAGGUACACUUUCUAGUAGGGAGGAAAGGACCGUGAGUAGACUAAUAUACUAUU
rnacentral:rRNA from 1 species